rnacentral:rRNA from 1 species
GGGAAACCCAGCAUGAGUUAUGUCAUGUUAUCGAUAUGUGAAUACAUAGCAUAUCAGAAGGCACACCCGGAGAACUGAAACAUCUUAGUACCCGGAGGAAGAGAAAGAAAAUUCGAUUCCCUUAGUAGCGGCGAGCGAAACGGGAAGAGCCCAAACCAACAAGCUUGCUUGUUGGGGUUGUAGGACACUCUAUACGGAGUUACAAAGGACGACAUUAGACGAAUCAUCUGGAAAGAUGAAUCAAAGAAGGUAAUAAUCCUGUAGUCGAAAAUGUUGUCUCUCUUGAGUGGAUCCUGAGUACGACGGAGCACGUGAAAUUCCGUCGGAAUCUGGGAGGACCAUCUCCUAAGGCUAAAUACUCUCUAGUGACCGAUAGUGAACCAGUACCGUGAGGGAAAGGUGAAAAGCACCCCGGAAGGGGAGUGAAAUAGAACCUGAAACCGUGUGCUUACAAGUAGUCAGAGCCCGUUAAUGGGUGAUGGCGUGCCUUUUGUAGAAUGAACCGGCGAGUUACGAUUUGAUGCAAGGUUAAGCAGUAAAUGUGGAGCCGUAGCGAAAGCGAGUCUGAAUAGGGCGUUUAGUAUUUGGUCGUAGACCCGAAACCAGGUGAUCUACCCUUGGUCAGGUUGAAGUUCAGGUAACACUGAAUGGAGGACCGAACCGACUUACGUUGAAAAGUGAGCGGAUGAACUGAGGGUAGCGGAGAAAUUCCAAUCGAACCUGGAGAUAGCUGGUUCUCUCCGAAAUAGCUUUAGGGCUAGCCUCAAGUGAUGAUUAUUGGAGGUAGAGCACUGUUUGGACGAGGGGCCCCUCUCGGGUUACCGAAUUCAGACAAACUCCGAAUGCCAAUUAAUUUAACUUGGGAGUCAGAACAUGGGUGAUAAGGUCCGUGUUCGAAAGGGAAACAGCCCAGACCACCAGCUAAGGUCCCAAAAUAUAUGUUAAGUGGAAAAGGAUGUGGCGUUGCCCAGACAACUAGGAUGUUGGCUUAGAAGCAGCCAUCAUUUAAAGAGUGCGUAAUAGCUCACUAGUCGAGUGACACUGCGCCGAAAAUGUACCGGGGCUAAACAUAUUACCGAAGCUGUGGAUUGUCCUUUGGACAAUGGUAGGAGAGCGUUCUAAGGGCGUUGAAGCAUGAUCGUAAGGACAUGUGGAGCGCUUAGAAGUGAGAAUGCCGGUGUGAGUAGCGAAAGACGGGUGAGAAUCCCGUCCACCGAUUGACUAAGGUUUCCAGAGGAAGGCUCGUCCGCUCUGGGUUAGUCGGGUCCUAAGCUGAGGCCGACAGGCGUAGGCGAUGGAUAACAGGUUGAUAUUCCUGUACCACCUAUAAUCGUUUUA